rnacentral:rRNA from 1 species
CGGUAAUUCCAGCUCCAAUAGCGUAUACUAAAGUUGUUGCAGUUAAAAAGCUCGUAGUUGGAUUUCUGCGGGGACGGAGCGGCCGGACGCAACUUGCGUCUCGAGCUAGCGCUUUCCCCGCAUCCUGCCGCGAACCGUGCUACCAUUAGCUUGGUGGCGCUGGGGAUCGGCUCGAUUACUUUGAGAAAAAUAGAGUGUUCAAAGCAGGCCACACGCCUUGAAUAAGUUAGCAUGGAAUAAUGACUAAGGACUUUGGUUCUUUUCGUUGGUGUUCGGGACUGAAGUAAUGAUUGAUAGGGACAGUUGGGGCGGUCUGUAUUCCAAAGCGAGAGGUGAAAUUCUUAGACCUUCAGAAGACAAACAGCUGCGAAAGCGUUCCGCAAGGAUGUUCCCUUUGAUCAAGAACGAAAGUUGGGGGAUCGAAGACGAUCAGAUACCGUCGUAGUCUCAACUAUAAACUAUACCAGCUAGGGAUCGGCCAACGUUUAAUUAUUCGACUUGGUCGGCACCUUAUGAGAAAUCAAAGCAUCUGGGUUCCGGGGGGAGUAUGGUCGCAAGGCUGAAACUUAAAGGAAUUGACGGAAGGGCACCACCAGGCGUGGAGCCUGUGGCUUAAUUUGACUCAACACGGGAAAACUUACCAGGUCCAGACAUAGGAAGGAUUGACAGAUUGAUAGCUCUUUCUUGAUUCUGUGGGUGGCGGUGCAUGGCCGUUUUUAGUCGGUGAAGUGAUUUGUCUGCUUAAUUGCGUUAACGGACGAGACCCCAGCCUGCUAAAUAGCGCGGCCGAGCUUUGCUCGGUGCGAGCUUCUUAGAGGGACCAUGAUGCGCGAUAGCACAAGGAAGUUUGGGGCAACAACAGGUCUGUGAUGCCCUUAGAUGUUCUGGGCCGCACACGGGCUACACUGGCGCCUGCAACGAGCAUAUCAGCUGGCCCGAGAGGGUCUUGGCUAAUCUUUGGAACCGGCGCCGUGCUUGGGGUUGACCAUUGCAAUUGUUGGACAUGCAACGAGGAAUGCCUUGUAAACGCGAGUCAUCAGCUCGCAUUGAAUACGUCCCUGCCCUUUGUACACACCGCCCGUCGCUCCUACCGAUGAAUGUUCCGAUGAAAUUUUCGGAGAGCGCCGGAGAACGGGGCUCUGCCCUGCAGAACUGGAGGCUCAAAGUCACUUAAAUCUGAACAUUUCGAGGAAGGAGAAGUCGUAACAAGGUAACC